rnacentral:lncRNA from 1 species
AUUCUCCAUGAAGUUCUGAGCUGCGAGAGCCCAGCAACGCCCUGAACCCAGGCAGCCUGUGAGUAACUGCACAGCCAGGAAGCCAGGAAGCGCUGCUUUGAAGAGAUGGCAGUAUUACCCAUCAGCCUAACAGUUGUAUAUCGCUGCUGCUGAAAGAAUGACCUGCUGGUGCUGAAGAGGAAGCAUCCUGCCAGGAAGCAAAGGAGCAGACCCAUUAAUUCCCCAGCAGACAUGAAAAGUGAAGCUCCUAAACAAAGCAGAUGCCAACAAGAUUUUGUUGACAGGAGCCUGAUAUAGCUGUCUCCUGAGAGGCUCUGCCAGUGCCUGGCAAAUACAAUGGAGGAGCUAAAGAAAGGACCCAAGGAACUGAAGGGGUUUACAGCCUGAUAGGAAGACCAAUCAUAUGAACUAACCAGUACCCCCAGAGCUCCCUGGGACUAAAUCACCAAUCAAAGAAAACACAUGGUGGGACUCAUGCCUCUAGUUGCAUAUGUAGCAGAGGAUGGCCUAGUAGGCCAUCAAUGGGAGGAGAGGCCCUUGGUCCUGUGAAGGCUCUAUGCCCCAGUAUAGGGGAAUGCCAGGGCCAGGAAGCAGUAGUGUGUGGUUUGGGGAGCAGGGGCAGGGGGAAUGGGAUAGGGGAUUUUUGGAGGGGAAACUAGGAAAGGGAAUAACAUUUGAAAUGUAAAUAAAGAAAAUAUCUAAUUAAAUAAAAGGGGAGGGAAGAAAAUUCUUACCAAUCUGUGGUUGUACAUUGAGAGGUUUCAUUGAGAAACAUGGCAAAGAAGGAAAGAUAUCUUGUUUUAUUUUUUUAUUUUUAACAGUGAUCAACUUGGACCUUGUCAAGCACAUUCUGGAGCUGCAUUUACAGACAGGGAGGAUGAUGUAUAUGCAGACCUCCUGAGAUCUUCUUGUUGAGUCUGACAUGCAUCCCACAUGACCUGGAGUAGGCAGGAAUAAUCCUAACUUUAACCCACCUGCUAGCCUUGCUGGUUUAUUGGUGACUAAGGUGGGCUUUGUGAUAGCCAGUUUAUACUCAGAGAUGAUGUGAAGGAGAUCAAAGGUACUUUAAAGAGGGCUUUCUGUCAGGAGCAAGAGGAAGACCUUUCAUGAACCUAGAAACAAUUUUCUUGAUGUAGAGGACUGAAGGCCACAGAGCUGUUGCAAGUCUGCAGGCAGCUAGCACUCCAAGGUCUGGAAAGGUAUAGUCUUCAGAGCUCUCAAUCAAAACAGAUAUAGCUGAGAAAUCCGUAAAAGAGCUAGAGGGCAAAUUAAAAGUCUGAUGGAUCUCAGAACAUUUUCUGCCCACAAUCACUCUGUGCCACUUUAAUUUUUUCAUUCUGACAGGGUCAGAAAGGAGGGAAAGUAG